rnacentral:rRNA from 1 species
AUUGAACGCUGGCGGCAGGCUUAACACAUGCAAGUCGAGCGGAGCGAGGGUGCUUGCACCUUAGCUUAGCGGCGGACGGGUGAGUAAUGCUUAGGAAUCUGCCUAUUAGUGGGGGACAACAUUCCGAAAGGAAUGCUAAUACCGCAUACGAUCUAUGGAUGAAAGCGGGGGACCGUAAGGCCUCGCGCGAUUGGAGCGGCCGAUGUCAGAUUAGGUAGUUAGUGGGGUAAAGGCCUACCAAGCCGACGAUCUGUAGCUGGUCUGAGAGGACGACCAGCCACACUGGGACUGAGACACGGCCCAGACUCCUACGGGAGGCAGCAGUGGGGAAUUUUGGACAAUGGGGGCAACCCUGAUCCAGCCAUGCCGCGUGAGUGAAGAAGGCCUUCGGGUUGUAAAGCUCUUUCGGCCGGGAAGAAAUCGUGGUCUCUAAUAUAGGCCAUGGAUGACGGUACCGGACUAAGAAGCACCGGCUAACUACGUGCCAGCCGCCGCAGUAA